UACGAAGGGUGCAAGCGUUACUCGGAAUUACUGGGCGUAAAGGGUGCGUAGGUGGUUUGUUAAGUCUGCUGUGAAAUCCCCGGGCUCAACCUGGGAAUGGCAGUGGAUACUGGCAAGCUAGAGUGCGGUAGAGGGUAGUGGAAUUCCCGGUGUAGCAGUGAAAUGCGUAGAGAUCGGGAGGAACACCAGUGGCGAAGGCGGCUCUCUGGAACGCAACUGACGCUGAGACGCGAAAGCGUGGGGAGCAAACAGG
rnacentral:rRNA from 1 species